rnacentral:rRNA from 1 species
UAGGGAAUCUUCCGCAAUGGGCGAAAGCCUGACGGAGCAACGCCGCGUGAGUGAUGAAGGUCUUCGGAUCGUAAAACUCUGUUAUUAGGGAAGAACAAAUGUGUAAGUAACUAUGCACGUCUUGACGGUACCUAAUCAGAAAGCCACGGCUAACUACGUGCCAGCAGCCGCGGUAAUACGUAGGUGGCAAGCGUUAUCCGGAAUUAUUGGGCGUAAAGCGCGCGUAGGCGGUUUUUUAAGUCUGAUGUGAAAGCCCACGGCUCAACCGUGGAAGGUCAUUGGAAACUGGAAAACUUGAGUGCAGAAGAGGAAAGUGGAAUUCCAUGUGUAGCGGUGAAAUGCGCAGAGAUAUGGAGGAACACCAGUGGCGAAGGCGACUUUCUGGUCUGUAACUGACGCUGAUGUGCGAAAGCGUGGGGAUCAAACAGG